rnacentral:rRNA from 1 species
AACACAGGUGCUGCAUGGCUGUCGUCAGCUCGUGUCGUGAGAUGUUGGGUUAAGUCCCGCAACGAGCGCAACCCUCGCCCUUAGUUGCCAGCAUUGAGUUGGGCACUCUAAGGGGACUGCCGGUGAUAAGCCGAGAGGAAGGUGGGGAUGACGUCAAGUCCUCAUGGCCCUUACGGGCUGGGCUACACACGUGCUACAAUGGUGGUGACAGUGGGCAGCGAACGAGCGAUCGUGAGCUAAUCUCCAAAAGCCAUCUCAGUUCGGAUUGCACUCUGCAACUCGAGUGCAUGAAGUUGGAAU